rnacentral:lncRNA from 1 species
AUUUUGUAAAAUUCGUAUUCGUUAUAAUAUUAUUCAUGACUGGUCUACUAUGGACCACUUGAUGAAGUGGUCCAUAUUUAUGAAUUUUUUUUCUUCUUUAAUUUGAUUUUUCUAAUUUUGUGGGUAGGUGCAUUCAACACACUGCAUUGUUUCUCAUGAGUUUUUGUUUUUUUAAGUCAUACGUUUCUUCUAUAAAGUAGGAUAGGAACCAAUAAAGAUUUGGUAAACUUGUGAAUAGUGAAGAGAAAAUCUCUAAUGGCUUCAUCAAUCAAAAUCUCAAGGCUCAUCUCUCGCUCGAUUUCCUCUGCUUCUUCUACCUCCUUGUUUUCUCGAGGUAAAUUUUUCUUUAAUUCUUCAUUU